UUGUGGGCAGCGUGUAAGAGUGUGUUUGACCUCUGGACUGAUUGUCCAUGAUCCUGUAUUUUUCGCGAAAAUCGAAAAGCCAAGUUCGGCGCGUUUUUCGACGAAAUUCGCCGAAAGAACGCGGAUUCGGUUUGGAUUUCUUCCGAACUCGUUUAGUGGCUUUGUUAGUUGUCGAUAAGCCUUGUCGGCUGUUCACCAUCAUCAUUUUAUGGGUUCGGUGAUGAUGGGUGAGCGACGGUGGGUUCCGGUGUCGAAAUAGACACUUUCGGGAACCCGAAUUUGUACGAUUAUCCGGCGAUAAUCGUAUUAUUAUGUUAUCUUGUGUUUGCUGCCAAAACAUCCAAAUUGGAGUGUUUUGGGGCAGCAGGUGACUCGUGGCACGAGUCGGUGAGUUCGGGACACUUAGUGGGUCCCGACGACGUCCCGGUGUAGUCUUCGGGACUUUCGGCGAGUUACGGUAAUCGGUAUUGGAAAACCGAUUUUCGUGGAAUCGUUUGUGGGGUUGUGGAUACUGUGAUUAUUAGUUGUGGGUUAGAUACUAACCCGGUGGACCCUCUAUAGGUCCUGUUGACAUUUUUUUUGCAGUCAGGAGACAGACGCGACAUCCGUACAGGUGGGUACUUCGAUCCGACGUCGGUACAGUGGUGCACGCUUGGUGACGGUUUCUUACCCUUACUCUUCUGUUGUUACUAUCGCAUAGUAU
rnacentral:lncRNA from 1 species